AAGGCCAUCCAGGAUUCCACCAGGAGACCAGGGACCCCAAGGACCACAGGGAAGGAACGGCGAGGCAGGACCUAAGGGACCUAAUGGAGCAGUUGGAAAAGACGGACUACCAGGUCAUCCAGGACAGCGAGGGGAGCCAGGCUUCCAAGGCAAGACUGGUCCACAUGGGCCAACGGGUGUGAUCGGACCACAGGUGA